GAUGAACGCUAGCGGGAGGCUUAACACAUGCAAGUCGAGGGGCAGCACGAGGUAGCAAUAUUUUGGUGGCGACCGGCGCACGGGUGAGUAACGCGUAUGUAACCUACCUUGUACAGGGGGAUAGCCCGGAGAAAUUCGGAUUAAUACCCCAUAAUGAUAUUUGAAGGCAUCUUUGAAUAUUUAAAGUUUCGACGGUACGAGAUGGGCAUGCGUGACAUUAGCUAGUUGGUAAGGUAACGGCUUACCAAGGCUGCGAUGUCUAGGGGUCCUGAGAGGGUGAUCCCCCACACUGGUACUGAGACACGGACCAGACUCCUACGGGAGGCAG
rnacentral:rRNA from 1 species